rnacentral:rRNA from 1 species
UACAGAGGGGGCAAGCGUUGUUCGGAAUUACUGGGCGUAAAGGGCGCGUAGGCGGCCCGCUAAGUCGAACGUGAAAUCCCCGAGCUCAACUCGGGAACUGCGUCCGAUACUGGUGGGCUUGAAUCCGGGAGAGGGAUGCGGAAUUCCAGGUGUAGCAGUGAAAUGCGUAGAUAUCUGGAGGAACACCGGUGGCGAAGGCGGCAUCCUGGACCGGCAUUGACGCUGAGGCGCGAAAGCUAGGGGAGCAAACGGG